rnacentral:rRNA from 1 species
CCCUUAGAUGUUCUGGGCCGCACGCGCGCUACACUGACGAAUGCAACGAGCUUAUAACCUUGGCCGAAAGGUCUGGGUAAUCUCCAAAUUUCGUCGUGAUGGGGAUAGAUUAUUGCAAUUAUUAAUCUUCAACGAGGAAUGCCUAGUAAGCACAAGUCAUCAGCUUGCGUUGAUUACGUCCCUGCCCUUUGUACACACCGCCCGUCGCUCCUACCGAUUGAAUGGUCCGGUGAAGCGUUCGGACCGUGGCCUUUGGACGGUUCGCCGUCUGUUGGCUGCGGGAAGUUCGUUAAACCUUAUCAUUUAGAGGAAGGAGAANUCGUANCA